rnacentral:lncRNA from 1 species
UUAUGCAGGCAUUAAUCAGUAUAAUUAAAAUAUGAUAGCAUCGGAUGUUAAAAGCACAGGUGGAAUGCAUUAAUGUAGAAAACAAAAGGGAGGAACUGCCACACUGUUUCUGUCUUACACACAGACACACAGACACACACAGAAGUACACACACACAGAUGUGUCUCAGAUCAAAAUUGAAACUAUCCUUAAGCAGGCAGAAGAAAAAUCUACUUACCAAUUCCUCUGCAGGAACUGUCUAAAUCCUAUAAUCUUGUCUUCCACUUGAUGGCGCUAUAAUGGCAUAGAGAUAAAGGAAGAAUCAUUAUUCUUUGUUUGUUUGAUUUAUGAAAUUCUGUCCAAAAACCCAAGCCCCAUGUUGGCAGGUGCUGAGAAAAAAAGUGCACUCAGAGGUUUCCUUCGUUCUUUUCUUCACAACUGGUAGGUACUGAGAAUGUGGAUGAAGCCUUUUAUAGACUGGCAUUUAAACUAAGCCAAUUUGCUAAAAAGAGGAAUAAAAACAGAUUUUGUGGUGUCUUUUUAAAAAGAGCCCCUCUUCAUUUAGAGACAGCAUCAUGCCACACUUCCUGUGUUACAUAGAUGGCCCUCAUUAUGUGCACAAGAGGUUUUCUGGUAUUAUAAUGUGGAUGGCUAAAAUAUUUAUAUUUUAUGUAUGUAUUACAGUUCACAUUUUUUAAUAAAAUCUUGGAUAGUUAACAUCUAAACUCAAGAUUUCUGGAGUCUUCAGUCAUUAUUUGCAUUCUGCUCAUCCUGACAUCUCUUCCUCCCACUCUCGAUGUUUGGCAGUUUUAGAGCGCAAGUGAAAAGGCCUAUUCCAGUUGAUGCCAGAGGAGGGUGGGGGCGUGGCUGUUAUACCACACUGGCAAGCAAGGCAAACAAGAAACAGGCUUGGCUACCACACAGACUUCAAGAAUGAAAAUAGAUUCAGGAUAUAAUAGUAGUUGGACAACAGUUUGGCUGAUCCCAUCGCAACUCUAGAAAUGCAUCAUUCGAUGCUUUAGAACUCCCUUUUACAGGGCACCGACAUGACUUGUGCUUCAUCCUACAAAGCUACCAAGCAGAAGCUCUCUACUCCUGGCUUUCUGCUGCUUCAGGACUUUCUCUCAGUGCUUGUGUUUCCCUUUAUAUGUUUCUUAAGAUUUACUUCUAUCAACAAAACCCUCUGUAUUAGUCAGCCAGGUCUGCCAUAACAAAGUGUCACCGACUGAGUGGCUUAAAAAACAAAAGUCGGGGGGCUGGGCGCAGUGGCUCAAGCCUGUAAUCCCUGCACUUUGAGAGGCCGAGGUGGGUGGACCACAAGGUCAGGGGAUCGAGACCAUCCUGGCUAACAGGGUGAAACCCUGUCUCUACUAAAAGUAGAAAAAGUUAGCUGGGCGUGGUGGGUGGGCGCCUGUAGUCCAAGCUACUCAGGAGGCUGAGGCGGGAGAAUGGCGUGAACUUGGGAGGUGGAGCUUGCAGUGAGCUGAGAUUGUGCCACUGUACUCCAGCCUGGGCGAGAGAGCGAGACUCAAAAAAAAAAAAAAAAA